ACGAGAAGAAGUAGAAAAAUCUCACAAACCCAACCCAGAAGUUGCUCUUUUUCCAAUCCUCCUUAUUAUUGAACUUCAAUUACAAUUUAUUUUUGUUUUAAAAAAAAUCUGAAGCUAUGUGUUGUGGGCAGCAUCCAUCGUUUGAAAGAGAUAGGGUUAACAACGAUGAUCAUUCAGCCUUGGUGCUCGAAAAUCUCCGCGAUCGGCUCGCCGACACCGAAGCUCGGCUUGCUCGCGCCAGGGCUCGUGAAGCCCAUCUCACACGCCGUCUCCAUGAGAUGAAACGCUUUCUAUCUGUUAUGGAAAUCCUUGAAGAUUACCUCAAACGCCGUUACCGUCUCCAACAACAACGUGUUGCUCGCCUCCUCUCUCUCACACCACCUACCCUAUAACCAACCGUUACCGUCAACCUUGUUUACCUGCUUAGAAUUAGAAAAAGGGAGGUAAGAUGGGCAGGGAAGUAAAGGGGAGAGUGGAAGCAAAACUUAAAUUAGUCAAAACAUGUCCAAAAAGUGGCUAUAUUUUAGGAACAAGGUCUUCUGAUUCUCAUGGUAUGCGGAAAAUGUUGAUCAACAUGACUGGAUAUUUGAAAUUUGUAUGACAUAGUGAAACAAUGUUAAUGGUAUCUUUAACCAACAAAACAAGAAAAGAGCAUUUUGAAAAGCAUGUCUUUGGGAUGCUUUGAUUUACUUUGAUCCUAAUGCGGAAAAGUACUGUCUUUUGGGAAGAAUGCUGAAGAGGUUUAAUUAAAAACAUAUACAAUUUAGGAUAAAACUUAGGUGUAUUUUCUGAGGUGCUUUUUGUAUAAUUUUUAACUUAAAAUAUUCAUAUCUACUAUGGUUUCUUAAAAUUUAUAAUUUUUUUCUAAGUUAUAACUACAAAAAAUGCAUUUUAACUUAAUAUCUAUACAAAACAUUUUGAAGAAAAUGCACAUAAGUUUUGUCCUACUAUAUAUAAGAAAGAAUAUCUAUAUUGUGGGCAAAUAUAUCAAUUUUUUGUACCAACAUUAAAUUGGAUUGAGUGAACUAGAUUUAGAUCCUUUAAGCAUGAUUUCAGGUUCAUUUGAACGGAGAAAAUGUGGUUGAGAAGGUAGACCCAUCAAAGGUGGCAGCCGGAUUUCCCGAAGGAGAUUUGUCGAUGUCCAAUAGUAAAGUCGGUGAAUACUUCACAUCAAUAUAUGAUUAAAAAUAUUGUUAAAUAAUUUAAUAAUUUUGCAUAA